rnacentral:rRNA from 1 species
AAUUCGAAGCAACGCGAAGAACCUUACCAGGUCUUGACAUCCCUGACAACCCGAGAGAUCGGGCGUUCCCCUUCGGGGGACAGGGUGACAGGUGGUGCAUGGUUGUCGUCAGCUCGUGUCGUGAGAUGUUGGGUUAAGUCCCGCAACGAGCGCAACCCUCGACCUUAGUUGCCAGCAUUCAGUUGGGCACUCUAAGGUGACUGCCGGCUAAAAGUCGGAGGAAGGUGGGGAUGACGUCAAAUCAUCAUGCCCCUUAUGACCUGGGCUACACACGUGCUACAAUGGGCGGUACAAAGGGUCGCGAACCCGCGAGGGGGAGCCAAUCCCAAAAAGCCGCUCUCAGUUCGGAUUGCAGGCUGCAACUCGCCUGCAUGAAGCCGGAAUCGCUAGUAAUCGCGGAUCAGCAUGCCGCGGUGAAUACGUUCCCGGGCCUU